rnacentral:miRNA from 1 species
AUGUAACGCAUGUUGUUUUCU